rnacentral:lncRNA from 10 species
GGAGAUAACUCUGAUUGGCUUGAAUCGAUCAAAGUUUCCUCUUAGAACUGGGGAUAAGGAGUAGCUUGGGAGCAGGUGACUUUCUGAAAGUGAUCUGGGUUCUGUUAGAAGGAAGAAUGAACAGAAAGACAUUGUGCUGCAGGUGAACAGCUGAGCACAUUAUGCACAGAGAUAUUUCAUUUUUUAGAUAAUUAGAAUAGGGAGAGGACAUUCUACACAGGGCAAAAGUGAAGCUGCCUCUUUUGAGGAGAAAUGGUUAAUUUAGCUGAAGCAUGAAAGCAAGAGGGGGAAUCACUGCAGAAGAAGAUAUUCUGGACAACAAUACAAUUAUGAUAUCAGAGAACUCUUAAUUUCUCAAAAACACUUCACUGACUCUCACAUCAACUAGAACAGCAAGUAUCAACAGAGAAAUCUGAAGUCCAGAGCAGCUCAAAUUAGAUCACAGCACUUCUCUGAUCUGGAAACUUCUGCGGCUUCCCCUGGCUCAUCAGUGAAUGGCUUGUGACAGGACGAAGAAUGGCGAGCUCCAUGGCAGGGAAACCAGCCUAGCCGGAGUGGGUGCCUCCCCUACAGGUCCACUGGCUCUUGUCUCCACUUCUGUGUCACAUAGAAGUGAAUGGAGCCUCAGAAACAUCAAGACCUUUUCUGCCUGACUGUAUCUAUGUGUCCUCAGAAUUGGGCGUGGAACACUCCUUGUUCUCAGAGAUCAAAGAUGAGGAAGUGGAGAUAGAACCAUUGCUCUUGACUGACAGUGCUUGAGUUAGCAAGUGAAAGAGAUGAGAUUUGAGCUUCAGUCAUCAAACUCCUAUUCAUUUGUCGAUCUCCAGCAUCUAGCAGAGUUCCUGGCACCUAGAGAACAUUUGAUAAAUAAUUCAAAAAAGUGAGUGAUUUGUUCUUCAUUGUUUAAUCCUUAUUUUAGCUUAUGAUUUUUUCUGAUAAUAAAUAUACUUGCAUGUUGUGUGAAGUUCAUGUGUUAAAAUGCAAAGAAAGCUCACCUGAAAUCCUCCCACUAGAAAGUAACCUCGUUAACAUUUUCAUGACCUUCAUUUCACACAUUUAUUGUAAAUAUAUACCUUUUAUAUUAAAAUGUCACAAAAAUGAAAUAUUAUACAUGUUUUUCACAACUUACUUUUUCACUGAAAAUAUUAUGGAUAAUUUUUCCAAAUGAAAAAUAGAAAUCUAUGUGUGUUUUGUAAUAUUUUAAAAAUUCAUUUGGAUGUACUGUGAUUUAACCAUAUUUGUUUCAUGGCAGUAUAAGUUGUUACCAGCUUGUUUGGGUAUUAUAAUGGAUGCUGUGCUGAAUAUUCCCACAUAUACAUUUUAAUAACUUUCUUUGAUUAUAUACUUAAGAUUAAUUUCUAGAAGAGAAUUCUUAGAAUCAAAAUAUAAUUGUAUCUUUAAUUAAAAUACAUAUGACUAAACUGCCUAGAAAAGGUCACUGAUGUACUUUCCCACCAAUCAUGCCUGCGAGUGAGCAUGCUGACAAGUAGGACUGGCAACGCUGGUUUCCUAUUAGAGUAACCUGGAGUGCUCUACAACAAAAUGAAAACAAAAGGAAGUGAAGCUCACAUACUAUCUCAAGACCAAGUAAAUCUAUGUUAAGAGGUAAAUCUAUAUUUAAUGUUAUAAGAAACAAUGACUGUUUUUUAAUGUUAUUUUGCUUUUCCUCUAGAAAUACAUGUUCCAGUGUUUCCCAUCCUUGACAGCGUUUCAUUUUGUCACUCUUAAUUUUAGUCAAUCCACAGGUUAUAUAGUGCUAUAUCAUUAUGGUUUUAAUUUGCAUGUUCCUACUGACUAAUGAUGUAGAGUAUUUCAUGUAUACAUUUACCACUCAUGUAUCUUUUUUCAUAAAGUGUUUUCUUC